rnacentral:rRNA from 1 species
GACGAACGCUGGCGGCGUGCUUAACACAUGCAAGUCGAACGGAAAGGCCCUGCUUGCAGGGUACUCGAGUGUCGAACGCGUGAGUAACACGUGGGUGAUCUGUCCUGCACUCCGGGAUAAGCCUGGGAAACUGGGUCUAAUACCGGAUAGGAGCCAUCCUUCGUGUGACGGUGGGAAAGAUUUUUUCGGUGUAGGAUGAGCUAGCGGCCUAUCAGCUUGUUGGUGGGGUAAUGGUCUACCAAGGCGGCGUCGGGUAGCCGGCCUGGGAGGGUGGACGGGCACAAUGGGGCUGGGGUACCGGCCAGACUCCUACGGGGAGCAAGAGGGGGGGAAAAUGCAAAAUGGGGGGAAGCCUGAUGGAAGGAAGGCGGGUGGGGGGAGAAGGGCUUCGGGUUUGAAACUCCUUUCGCUAGGGGCGGAACUGUGAGUGACGGUACCUAGAUAAGAAGCACCGGCUAACUACGUG